AGGGUUGUGGCUCAGUGUAGAGCUCUUGCCUAGCAUGUAUGAGGCACUGGGUUCGAUCCCAGGGGCCAUA
rnacentral:tRNA from 1 species